AUGGCUCUCACACUAGGCUUUAAGAGGGACUGGGGAGUGGAACAUUCCACUGAGCCUGACCCCACCUCUUCUAGGUGAGCUGGCCAGAGAGUUUAAGUGACUUUCCCAAGGGUCACUCAGCUAGUUGGUUCUGGAGUCACUCACUGAGCCUGGCUCCAGAACCCCAAAGACAGGGUGCAGCCACCUUGGUGAAGCCUCAGUGGUCACCUCCUAACAGUCCCAGUCACUGUAUCCCAGGGACGCCCAGGAUCAACUCAUUAACCAGCUGCCUGCACGGCUUGACCCGGAGGCCGGAGCCUUUGCCUCUCUGCACCCUGACGCCCAUGGGGGGCGGGGGGUGGUCAGAGAGGGAGCGUGGACCGCUGGCAGUGCAUCUCUCCGUUGUCAUGGCAACCCGGGCACUGUCUGCACCUGUCACUCAUGAGGACUGGAGCUCCUGGGGUGGGGGCGGGGUUUUCAGAUGCUUAAUCUGCCCAAGCGAGGCUGAGACCCCUGGGCUCGCCCCAUCCUGCUCUCUUCCCCCGUGUCCUCAAGACAGUCACGGCCUAUUUCCACUCCAUCCCUUUCCUGGGCCGCAUGCCCUGCCCUGAGUGGAUGGGGUGGUGGCCAGGCCCGGGUCUGUAGCAGCUUCUGGCCCCAUUUUCUGAGUGACCUCCCUGGGGAUGGUCAGCCUCCUGCGUUUAAACGCAAGUCCCUCGCUGCUGGAACUCGUUCAUUUAGCCAGAGGAGGGUCUGGUCUGGGUCUCUCCCCACCAGAGUCCCAGCCCUGCACUGGCUGCCUACUGGGCAGCUCCUCAGAGGCCUCAGAGGCUCCAACCUCGCCCUGCAUCUGAGCAGUGCUGUGGCCUUCUCUGCAGAGCCUGCUCUCCCCUUCCACACUGUCCUCAUGGGCACACAGUCCCCCGUCCAGGUGCUUGGGCCGGAACCUUGGCCUCCUUUCUCACCCAGGCACUCUGUGUCAGCACAUCCCACUGGCUCUACCUUCAAAACAUGUCCUCAAUCCAACCAUUUCUCACUGCCCCACUGCCACUCACUGUGAAGGCCAACCUCCUGUCCUCCUUGGAUGACUGUGACAGCCACUCUGCCCCACCUUCUCCACCCAGUCAUGCUCACAAAAGCAGUCAGAGCGGCCCCAUUGAAAAGUAAGCAAAGCAAGCAUCUCCUCCACUUAAAACCCCACCAGCUGUCACCUUGCAGUGAACAAAGGCUACAGUUCUUAGGAUUCUGUGACCUGUACUCCCACCCUCUGAAGGCCAGUCUGCAAAGCUGUGGGGCUUGCUGGCACCCAAACUUUCAGUCCUCACUCCAAUGUCACCCUCUCCAUCAGGCCCGCUCCCUUCAAACUGCCACACCCCACGGCUCCAUUUAUCCCAAAGCAUUGUACUAAUAAUCACUCACUCUUCACGAAGACCGCUGCCUCCUGGCUGUCUCCCCACAUGGGGACUUUGUGAGGCUGGGGCUCUGGGCCCACACAGGCAGUUAGUUAGCACGUGCUCUGUGACUGAGCCCCAGCAGGGGUGGUGCAUUCAUUUGUCCACUCCAGGGCCUGCAGCAUCUUGGUUUGAAUCACACAAUCCAAUGUUUCUGUUAAUUUGAAGGUGGAGGCCAACUUUAGCCAAAAAUCAAGGUAAUUGAAAUAAAAACCUAGACAUCUAAGCUCUCUGGGAAAAAGGAGGAAUCUGUCCACAGUGCCCACUCCCAUCUGAAUAAGUUGGCUGGGGCUGGGCUGAGGUCUUCCCCCUUAGGUGGGGCAACGGUCCCGCCAGCCCCUGGUGCUCACUACCGACCCUAUUACUCAUGUUCCUAAGCCUCCAGCCCUCUGGGGCUCUGAGUUUGGCUCUCUGAUUACCCCAGUCAUCUUCCCCUGACCCCGCAGUGGGUCCCUUCUGCUCUGUGGCAGGGUCUGCCUGGAGCCAUGGGGCAGACUUGGUCCACUCCUGCUUGGGGUAGGAGGUGGUUGCUGUGCAGGGGUGAUUGGAGGCCCAGAGGGUUCUGCAUAAUACACACAGGACAGUGGUCAGGCAAGGCUCCCAGGGAGGCGGCCUCCAGGGAGAAGUCAGCCUAGGGGAGAGGAGACCAUGGAGGAGCUAAGGAAGCCUCUGGGGUAUUCUGGAGGUUUUAGGUGUGGAGGGCUCUGAGAGGAGAAGGUAGGGGCAGGUCGGCCCAACAAAGAGCCGGAAGCCAAAUGCCACCGACUGAGCAGCAUGGAGGCCCAGCUGCAUUCUGCCUCCGUGGGGAGACACUGAAGGCUGCAGCCAGGGACGGGACGUGGUGUGGUCGAUACGGAGGUGUGCCUCCCCACUCUCGACAUGCCUUGUUGUAGGUGUGCAGUGGAGACCACCUCUAGCUGUCAGCUUCUUCAGGGACAGCUUUGCCUGAGGCCACCCCCUCCUGAGGGCUCUAGGGGAUAAAGGCCCUACCAUUUCCAUCCGCUUGGGGCACUGAAGGGUGUGUUCCAUCUGGAGCUCCCCUCUGGGUUGGCUGAGGGUUCUCGAUUUUGCAUUGCAGACUGACUUCUCCCUCUGCCCAACGUUCCCCCACCAACACUUCUUCUCACAAGGGUUGGUCCCUAAUAAACAUCUUUCACCCCAAACUCAUGUGGCCGGUGGGCCGAGGCAGGCUGGAGAGGAGGGUACCCUGCAAAGUCAGGAGGUAAGCUGGGAAGUUCCUGCACCAGCUUGAGCCGAGAGGAGGAGACCUGAGUCAUGCCAUGACUAUGGGCAUGGAAGACCAGAGAGUUUCAGCAACGAUGCAUCACAUGGGAUUCAGCCCGCUGCUACUGAAGUAGGAGUGACCUGAGUGCAGAUCCUGCCUCCACAAUUUCCUGGUGACUCUGGGAAGCCCCCUGUACCUCUCUGAGCUGCAGCGAUCAUAUCUAUAAAAUGGCAAGUAUAGGGACGAUGACUGUCUUGCGGGGUGGUUGUGAGGGUUCAAUCGGAUAAUAGACUCAAGAAGCUCAGGCAGGGCUUGGUAUGCAGUUUGCAACCUUUUUGUAAAGGUUGCAUUGACAGGUUUGGUAUCAACCAUAGAACCCCAGAGCCAAUCAUCAAUAUAAACAUCUGAGCAAUGUGAGCCCCUCUCAGCCCUGGUGUGGCCCGGAGAGGGUAUUCCCACCGAAAGCAAAAUACCUAUUGUGGUCUUUUCCUCCACAGAUGAGUGGGGUCUUUUGAAGUACUGAGAAUUGGUUGGGGACACACAUUGCUGUCUUUGUGGAGCCUGAGCGGGUCGGGGAUCCAGGGCCAAGGGAAAUGUUGCCAGAGGGCUCAGAAGGGUCACCAGAGGCCAAUGAGAUCCCAGCCCAGCAAGUUCCCAGGUUCUUGAUACCAUCCAAAAAAGAGUUCAGGGAGGAGUUAGAAUGAAGUGAGGGUUUGGGUUUCUAAUUUUGUGGGUGUGUAAUUAGUGGGUGGAAUAAUCAUUAGGUAUUCUGGAAAAGGAGGGGAUCUCAGGGACCCCCCAGUUACUGCCCCCUUUCUCUCUUAUUUGAGUUUGCCUGGAAAUCCAAAUAAGACGCAGGCAUGUUAUGGGCGUGUCACGGUGACCAGGAUUUGGGCCGUUUUCUCUCCCUGAUUUUGGGUUUUGGGUUAUUCUGUGGUUUCUUUACCCAGUUCUCGUUUUAUGUUGUUUGGGUUUCUCCAUCCUCCUGUGACUACCCAGUACUACUCCUAUCUAAGAAACACUGGCCACGUCUUUCCAGCUCCCAGUUGCCGCUGAUGGGCCUGAGGGGUGUGUGUGGGGUAUGAGCAGGCUGCAGCUUGGCUCUGGGAAACUGACUUCCGAAGGGUUCCUGGUAGUCAUGAGUCCCAGCAGGGCAUGUGAUUGGGCACCUGGACGGCCGUGCCCAUUAUUAAGCUACUGAAGUCUUUGCACAGAGCAGGGUAAAGAGCCACUGCCUGGAGCUCCUUGAGUGUGGCUCCGUUCCAGAUCCUCCCUGGCAUUCCAUCCCCCUUCCUACUCACCCAAGGUGAGUAGAUGAACGCCUGGCCCUGGGCCCCUCUGAGUGGCUGGUGCUCCUGCCAAGAUGUCACAACUGUCUGCAGGUUGCCUGUGGGACCAUUCCUGUGGCUCAUUCCAGGAAUGUCCUGCCACGCUCUGUGCUACUGGGGACAUGGAGCCGUGGUGGCACACAGCUAUAACUCUGUUCUCCUGAACCACGUAUCUACUGGGGGAGGAGGAGAGCCCAGAGGAAAUCCAGGGCACUGUUUUUAGAAACAAUAUCGUCACCAGCACUUACUGAAAGGCUUUCCUUGAGCCUAGUGUUGUUCUUAGCACUUCCCCUGUGCUAUCAGAUUCAAGCUGCCCACACUCAGUGGGGUGGGGGCUGUCAUUAUUUUACUUAUUCUCACUCAUGUUCUGGGUGAAGGUCACACAGCUAGUGAGUACGGAGCAGGGACCAAACCCAGGCAGUCUGUUUCCAGAGACCGUGCUCUUGGUGGCAAAGGCCUGGCACAGCAGCGUAGAAAAAGGCCAGGUCUCUUGCCCAGGCAUUCCGAGGCCACAGCUGAUCUGGCAUAGCUCCUGACUCCUGGGAGCUGCCCACUGGGCUUCCCUGGCCCCUCUGGGCCCAACCAGGCAUCACAGGGAGCCCCCCCAGGUCCUCCCAGGCUUCUCUUUCUUUCCCCUGCACCCUAUCACUGCCUCGUUGGAGAUCUUGACAGUAGAUGAAGUGACAAGCCUUUGCGCUUAAUUAAGACACAUUGUCCCACCAAUUGGGAAGCAAAAAUGGCUGGGCUGUUUUACAAAUAGAAACAAUUCUUGUUCAUUAUCCCUUAAUUGUGGCAACAAAGGGCUCUGGAAAACAUCCAUCAGAACACAUUCAUGAACAUUAGCAGAGAGGAUUCGGUUUAGGACCACACAAAAGGAACAGCAAAUGUUCCAAUCAGGAGUUAUACAGACAAAGGGAAACAAAGGCCUGAAAGCACAAAUACUGAAGAAUUAGCCCAAUUACACACUCGAUGUGGUGGGGAACAAGUUUCCUGGCUUCUGGCCAGCUCUUCUCCUUGCCUCUUUUUAUCUUCUUCCUUUUCCCUGGUACCAGAUGGAUAGGGGAAAGAAAGGAACCUCCCAGACCCUCUGGGAACCCGGCUUUGGUCCCCAGGAUGGGGAAGAGAUGGGUUAACAGAGAGUCUUGAGGGACCCAAAACUGUAAUCUGAAUUCCAGAUGUGGUCUGCCUGUAAUUGUCACCUUCUUCAUUUUGGUCACUAUACUUCUUGUGAUGCAACCUAAGAUACUCUGUCCCAGUAUGGAUUUUAAGGUCAGCUUGUGGUUGGUUGAAGUUGCUGAACUGUUUUUAUAACUUUUUUUUCAGGCUAGGUAUUCCCCAUCCUAUAUUUACAUAAUUGUAUUUUAAGGUCCAAACAAGUUUAUAUCCAUAUUGUUUGUCCCAGCCCAUUUGUCUGGUCACUCAGGGGAGCUGAGUGGAUGUGGCCUCCUGGGACCACUACCCAGAACUAUUCUUGGAAGCAAGCCUGCUUGUCUUUCUCCUCCAGGUUCUCUUGGGAGCUAGGUAAAGAGAAGCUUGCAUGCGUUAAGAUAGGAAGAGCUUUUAAAAAAUCGUUCCUGAUUGGUUAGGAAAUGACUGAUCCUUGUGUCAGAGUCAUUUGAACCAGGGCAACUCCAUCUUGAAUGGUGCUGGGUAAAAUGUGGCUGCGACCUACUGGGCUGCAUUCCCAGAUGGUUAGUCAUUCUAAGUCACAGAAUGAGAUAGGAGGCUGGCACAAGAUAUAGGUCAUAAAGACCUUGCUGAUAAAACAGCUUGCAUUAAAGGAGCCGGCUAAAACCCAUCAAAACCACGAUGGUGACAAAAGUGACCUCUGGCCGUCCGUCAUCACUGCUACACUCCCACCAGUGCCAUGACAGUUUACAAAUGCUGUGGCAAUAUCAGGAAGUUACCCUAUAUGGUCUAAAAAGGGGCGGCAUAAAUAAUCCGCCCCUUGUUUAGCGUAUAAUCAAGAAAUAAUCGUAAAAGUGGGCAAUCAGCCUCCCUCAAGGUUGCUCUGUCUAUGGAGUAGCUAUUCUUUUAUUCCUUUACUUUCCCAGUAAACUUGCUUUCACUUUACUCUCCCUGAAUUCUUUCUUGCUCGAAAUCCAAGAACCCCCUCUUGGGGUCUGGAUCGGGGCCGCUUUCUGGUAAUAUCUUUCUUGCGACCACUGAAGGGACUAUAGUGCGGAAACCCCUGACCCAAAGGCUACCUUUGGGUGAGUGGUGAGGUCUGGUAAUAUCUUUCUAGUGAACCACAGAAGAGACGAUACUGAAGAACAACCCCCACAUCGCCCCCCUCCCACCCCCACAAUCUUCUGAAGGAAAUAGACUGCAGCACUGAUUGGCUGACUUUGGGACACAGUUAGAGAAAUUGGCUAUUUUACCAAGGCGUUGACUGGAAUGGUAUGUUUUCCUUUAAGGAAUUAAACUUGACUUACAGAGCCAAUAAAAGACCCUUGGGAAAGAUGUCCGCAUACCUUGUCUACACAGUCCCUGUACAGGAUUCUUGACUUGUGAGAUGGAGCCUUGCUCCGUCACCCAGGCCUGAGUGCAGUGGUGCAAUCAUCGCUUGCCACUAGAACUCUUGGACUCCAUUCCUCCCGCCUCAGCUUCCCAAGUAGCUGAGACUACAGGUACAGUUCCAGUUUUGUAGCACAGAUGUUCCUUGAGUUGUGAUGGGGCUACGUCCUGAUAAAUCCACAGUAAAUCGAUAAUAUUGUUAAGUUAAAAAUGCGUUUAAUCCACCUAACCUACUGAACAUCAGAGCUUAGCUUAGCCUGCCUUAAACAUGCUCGGAACACUUAAAUCAGCCUACGAUUGGGUAAAAUCAUCUAACACACAGCCUAUUUUUUAAUAGUGUUGAAUAGCUCAUAUACUGCAUAUGGCUAGCCCGGGAAAAGAUCAAAAUUCAAAUUCAAAGUAUAUCAAAAUUGUGAUGGUUUCACACCAUCAUAAAGUUGAAAAAUUGUAAGUUGAACUAUCCUAAGUCAGAGACCAUCUGUAUUUAUUUUGGCAGUAUGUAUAUGCGUGUUGGGUGUCGAGGGGAGAGUUAGCACGUAUCUCACGUGUUUAUCUGGCUCUAGGAAAGGGAGAAAUCGCCCGAGCCCCCACCACACUGCAGGGGGCUUCCUCCAAGCUGCAUAAUCAGCUGCUUGCUUCUCCCCAGUCCCCGCCCCCUCUGCAUUCCUCCCAAUUUGCCUAAACCUGGUGCAAACUGUGUCCCUCUCCUGUGACAAUUCAACCCUUACUCCUUUUGCCUGUCUGCCCCACCCUCCUCGGAGGCUGGGUCUAUUGCUCCAGGACACCCACGCACUGUGUUCAAAUCCUGCUCCUGCCCCCCGCCCUAACGUCUGCCUGUGUGACCUGGGCAAGUUAUUUCAUCUCCCUGUGCCUCCGUUUCUUCCUCCGUAAAUGGUGAUAAAAAUCGUGCCUACCUCCUUGGGCUGUUGUAAGAAUUAAAGGAAUUCAACAUAUGUGAAGCAUGAGCACAUGGUAAGCGCUGAUUUGUGUUGGAACCAUCUGCUUCCAUCACAGGGAGUUUGUAGACUUUAUUACAGGUUUGGGCCCCGCGGGGAGCCUGUGGCCCUGUGUAUCUUCUACCUCUCUGUGUUCCCAGCAGGGCAACCAGAGUGGGCCCUUCAUCCUCCACAAGAACGACUUCUGUGGUGACACCAACACCUGGAAUGCGGAUGCAGGCCUGGUAUGCGGAUGCAGCUCCAGCAAGCUCUCCGUACCUCCCGCCCUUUGAGCCCAAAAGUGAUUGUUUGUCAUCACCCCAGGCAGGUUUUGGGGAAGCUGACAGCAGAGAAUGGCUGGCAGGAUCAUCGGGACAGCUAGAUGUUCUCAGGGCUGCUGAGUCCUGACUUUUGCAGGCAGAGAGGAAAGAGUCUUCAAGUCAGAGGCUCCCAGAGGAGUGCUCAGCGGAGGCUCCUGCUGCCUUGCACCGCCCAGGGAAGCAGUCACUGGAUGCUUCCUUUUAAGAUGCCAACAGCUGUGGUCCUGACCCCUGUGGAGAGUGGUCAGGCCAGCAGGGGAUGGACUAGCCAAGUCUACCUAGGGGAGCCAGGUACUCAGGGGAUGGGUUACCCAAGGGCUAAUAACCAACCAAGUCUUUCAGAUGAUGCAUCCGAGGCCAAGCACUCCCUUGUAUCUCAGACCUAGAACUGGCCUCCCUGUCUGCCAGCCACGUUCACUGUUUAAGCAUGAAGGAUUUAGCCCAGGUGGAUAGGGGGAGCGGCUCUCAGCCCAAUCUCCAGGACUGGCCCACAGUGGGCCUGCCCUCCUGCCAUCACGGGGAAGCCAGGGAAUCUGAAAGCCUGGAUGUUCCUGCUGGAGCCACACCAGCAGCCCUCGGAAGUCCCAUUGCUCCUUCUCAACCCUCGGAGCUGUGACCAUGUGCACUCAGGCAAGAUGUGAUGUGGACGGCAAGAGGGAGGCCCCAUAGGCUCUGCUUUCACUGGAAGCCUCGUCAUAGAGACCCUGGGUUUCGGCUGCAGCAAAAGCACUGGCAGGGCCUCUUGCUCUCUUCUGUGUUCUAGAUCUCAGCCAGUGCAUGUGAGUGGCUGAAGCAGAAAUCCUACCCAGAACUGGGGCUGUGAGGGAGCCUGGGAAAGGCUGGGCCCACCUCCAGCUUCUGCGUCAUGGGGAGCACAGCAGAGGAUGUCUUUCUCCACCUGCUUCAUCCAUCCAAGUGCUACUGUCCAGCCAUCGAGGGGCAUCAACUGUCCUCUCUGCCUUAAUGACAUCUGUCUCCUGUGACAGACAGGAUCAUUUGCUCCCAGGGGUGGGGUGGAGUCAGGCCCCAGGGAAUUCAGACCAAGACCUACUCCCCGCUGCCUCUCCCUUGGUGAAGUUGGGAGAACAUCUCUCCCUUUUCCGUGUAUUUUUCUCACAACCAGUUCCCUUGGACUCUUACCUUCAAGCACCAGUGCUCUUAAAAAUAUUUCCUGCAAAUAGAGACAGUGCUGUCCCCAAGAGGAAUUCUGGGGAUGAAAAGAUUUUCCAUCUCAUUACAGGUGUAAUUGCUCUUUUCUCCCUUUGUUUGCAAGUCAUAGAAAUGCGCACAGACUGGCUUAUGCAAGAAAAGGAAUUUACCGGUUCAUAGAACUAAAAAGUCUGAGGUGGACUUCAGGUGUGGCUGGAUGUAGGUGCUUCAGUGAUGUCAUCAGCCAUCUCUCUUUUCUCCUUGUCUCUUCUCUGCUUUCCUCCACAGUGCUCAGGAAAAAAUCUCCCAAAGAGGUGGCAAAAAUGGUCAUUAUCAACGCUUUGUUUUCAUUUCACAAGAUUGGUCAUCCCAGCAGAAAAAAUAUGUCUGCUUCCCAAGAGUUCUCACCAAACUCCCAGAGUGGAUUCUUAUUGUCCCAGCUUAGGUCAAUAUCCCUAAGUCUAACACUGAUUGGCCGGGUCUGGAUCAGGUGCCUGCCUCUGAUAGCACCAUGGUGGGCCCCAUCUGGCCUCCUGAAUGGAGGAUAACAGACAGAUGUUGUUGCCACACGGCCAGCUGCCAUUUUCUCCACUGCAGUUACCCAACCUCUGUCCCACUCACUGGAUCCAUCCUCAGUGCUCUGCUCCUCCUUAAUGCACCUGGGGAUGGCACCUGCUUCCCAGGUUAUUGUGGGCAGCAGGGCACUGGUGGGGUGGGGUCCCCAGAUGGGCAUUAUGGGCUUGAGCCCUGGAACAUGCCUUGCUUUCAGGCCCCUCCUCAGUGUCCCCUCUCCUGGGCUUUGAGAUUAGGGGCCUUUCCAGAACAGUGAGGGGUGAAGCAGGAUAGCGAGAUUCUGGCUGUCACGUGGAAGCCACCCCCCGGUUAUCACUGGGGGUGGCGUGGACAUACAGAGGCUUCACCUUAAGGCCACCCCACAUGUCGUGGUCCUUGCAUUCUCCAGCUUAUUUCUAUCAUGUCCUGAAGCACAUUCACACCAACACAGGGCCAGAGAUACCAAGAACUCCCACAGCUCCCUGAAGACUCUGCUUCCCGGGGGGUUUUGGAGAAAAUAUUCCCUACAACCUUCAGCUUUUCCUCUCUGUCCCUCCCACAGUGGUCAGCACUCACUUUCUGAAGCUUGGCCCGACUUCACUCCAGGCUGGAGCCUCUGUGGAUGUCUCUGUUGUGUAGCCACAGGCCUAGCUGCUAGGCCUGUUUUCAAGGCCUCUGGUGACUGAAUCUGCACCUCUGUUCUGAAUUCACCCCAAGGUGCCAGCCACUAGUGUUUAGGCCAGUUAGGCCCUUCUUGACUCUGAGCCUUCUCCUGGGGGCCCUGGUAGGAGCCCUCCGCCUCCUUUAGACCCCACUCCCAUCCACCAGGGUCACCUCCUUCUGUCUUGCAGGACAUCUGAUUCUACAUCACUCUGCAACGACACUUCUCUGGUCUGCUUGUCACUGUCCCUCAGAGAUGCUGCCUGUCCCUCUCCCUCAGAGAUGAGUUCCCAGUGACUCUUGCAGGAUGACAAAGCACCAUCAAAACAGUGCCUUAAGACAACAGCAGUCACAUUGUUUUCUCUGGUGGGCGGUGCUGGACGGGGCUGGCUCGGCAUCUCCUGUGUGGUUGCUGCCAGGUGCAGAGGUGGGGCAACUGGGCUGGCUGCAUCUCUGCAUGGUCUUAGGGCUCCUCUGUGUCUCUGAGCCUGGGCUAGUUUGGCUUUCUCUCAGCAUGGUGGCCUCAGGCAGCUGGACUGCCAGUGUGGUGGCUCAGGGCUUCAAGGGCUUGUCCUCCAGGGAGCAGACACCACAGCACCUUUUAUGAUCCAGCUUUGGAAGUCAUGGAGCAUCAAUUCUGCCAUAUCUGUUGGUUUAAACAGCUACAAACCCCACCAAUCUCAGUCACUCAUAAGAAGAGCAGGUGGGACAGGAGAUCUUGGCAUUGUUGUCUUUGGACAACUCCUUUGUGCAGGUGAGGAGGGAGGAAGACACAUCUCUGGAUCCCCGGGAGCGGCCAGCACAGUCAGCCCCAGACAUGCCCGGGAAUUCUCUGCCCCUUCCCCCUGUUGGGGGAAUCACAAAUUCUGCCUCAGUGAAGAGAGUUUACACCCCCAUAGCAUCUGAGGGUCAAAGGUGCCUUCCAGGAACCUGAUUUGUCCUCCCUAGCUCCCUCUGGGACCCGUUCUCUGCAGCCCAGGGGAGUGGAGCCUGUGUGGUCUCCUGAGCAUCACUGCAGAGUUGAUCUUCCUACCUCCAGGGAGAUCGCGAGAGAGUCCAAGUGUGCCCAGUGUAGAUCUCAGCCCCACUGCUUUGGAGCUGGGAGACCCUGACACACAACUUAACCCGAGUCUCCAUUUCUGCACUUGCAAAAUGGAGAUAAUAAUGCCCUCUUCUCAGAGCUGCGACCAGGAUCGAUGGAGAUAAUAGAUGAGAAAAUGCUUGGCUGGGGCAAAAGUGCAGUCUCGGCAGAGUGUUCUCCCCCAGCACCCCUCCCACCUGAUGCAGGACUUAAUGAGAGCUGGCUGCUCCCUGGGAUCUUUAAUUAAUUGCCCCAGCCCCACAAUCCCAGUGCCAGCAGAUUAAAUCCAGCCACGGUGGGAAGUAGACUGAGGACUGCUUUGGAUGCAAAUGCCUGAAGCGAAGAAUUUCUGCCUGUGAAAUGGCUGAGUGGGUGAUUUUAGAGCAGCUGCACUUGGGGCUGCCCCCAGGGAGAUAACCCUCCCCACCCUCAGCAGAAUCAGUGCAGCCAGAGGGUGCCCUUUUCUUACCAACUCAUCUCCGGUGCCUGUGGGGUGGGAACCGAGGCCUGCCAGUCGCAGCCCCAGCCCCAGCCCCAGCGUGCCUUGGCCGGCCCCAGAAACAGGAGGAAGGAUACAGGCAGAUCAGUUCCACAGUGACCUAGAGGUAACCAUCCAGGUGCCCUCCAGGUUCCCCAGCUGUUUUGUUCCUGAGGCAGUGCUUGGCCUGCCCUCUGCCCUCCAGCUCCUCCUGCAUCAGGCCUCAGCCUUUGCUGUCUCCGUGGCUUGGGAUACUGUUUCCUGGCUGUCACAGCAGGGCUGUCUCCUCUGCAGCCUCCAGGGCUCCAUGUGAGUGUCUGUCCUCGAGGGAUACCCUCCUGGGCACCCCCAGGCCGCUCUUUGCCUCACCUGCACAGCUCCUGCAGCAGAGCCUGGAAAGCUCCCCCACCCUCACCCGACUUGUUUUGUCACCUCGCCUGCUGGUUGUCAGCCCCAUGGAAACCUGGCGUCGGUGCCUGGGACCAGCUACAGGGGCUCUCAGGAGGGCCUGGCCCAGGUCUGGGACAGGGAGGGAGGAGUAGGAGCAGGCAGAGGGGACACUGAGCUUCACUGCAGGCACAAAGGCAGCCAGGACUCCGCUUGGACCCAGGACUGGGGUAGACCAGAACUGUCCUAAGCAGGGAGUUGUCCAUGCCUGUGUGGCUGAGUCAUAGGACGUGGGCCUGGGGAGGAUGGCAGCAGGGGUGGUGUCUGUUUGCAGCUGGGGGUGAUGCUGAGCACAUCUGGUUACAGCCCCUAGCAGCUGGGCAGCACAUCCUUCCAUGAAGCAGGUCUGAGGCACAUCCCUGCAUGUCCCACAGAGGUAAGUGCCUUCACCUCUAAGUAGACAAAGCACUUGUAACAUAGUGGGCGCUUAGUUACUUUUUGGCUGGCUGUAUAAGGUCUAGUCCCUACCAAGCACCCCAAUUCUGAUAACUUUUGGUUGUCUGUGUCUGAGUCCCUGUUCUGCAGCAAAGGACACCCAUACUGUGGAGCCCAGGGUCCUGUGCUGGGAGCUUCCCACAGCCUCUGUUGCUCCUCCUCCCCGCUGGCCAGUGGGUCCUACUGUGUCUAUUACGGAUGAAGAGGUGAAGAUGGAGUUUUGCUCUUGUUGACCAGGCUGGAGUGCAAUGGCAUGAUC